rnacentral:rRNA from 1 species
UACGUAGGGUGCGAGCGUUGUCCGGAAUUAUUGGGCCUAAAGCAUCCGUAGCCGGCCUUACAAGUCCUCCGUUAAAUCCAGCUGCUUAACAGAUGGGCUGCGGAGGAUACUAUAAGACUAGGAGGCAGGAGAGGCAAGCGGUACUCAGUGGGUAGGGGUAAAAUCCGUUGAUCCAUUGAAGACCACCAGUGGCGAAGGCGGCUUGCCAGAAUGCGCUCGACGGUGAGGGAUGAAAGC